rnacentral:rRNA from 1 species
ACGUACGCUGGCGGCACGCCUAAUACAUGCAAGUCGAACGAGAAAGCACUUCGGUGUGAGUACAGUGGCGGACGGGUGAGUAACGCGUAGGAAUCUACCUAGUAGUGGGGGACAACUCGAGGAAACUCGAGCUAAUACCGCAUACGACCUAAGGGUGAAAGUGGGGGAUCUUCGGACCUCACGCUAUUUGAGGAGCCUGCGUUGGAUUAGCUUGUUGGUGAGGUAAAGGCUCACCAAGGCUACGAUCUAUAGCUGGUCUGAGAGGACGAUCAGCCACACUGGAACUGAGACACGGCCCAGACUCCUACGGGAGGCAGCAGUGGGGAAUAUUGG